GAGUUUGAUCUUGGCUCAGGAUGAACGCUGGCGGCGUGCUUAACACAUGCAAGUCGAACGAGGAAUUUUAAAUGAGACUUCGGUGGAUUUUAAAAUUCUUAGUGGCGGACGGGUGAGUAACGCGUGGGCAACCUGCCCUGUACAGGGGGGACAACAGCUGGAAACGGCUGCUAAUACCGCAUAAGACCACGGAGCCGCAUGGCUCAGUGGGAAAAACUCCGGUGGUACAGGAUGGGCCCGCGUUGGAUUAGGUAGUUGGUGAGGUAACGGCCCACCAAGCCGACGAUCCAUAGCCGACCUGAGAGGGUGACCGGCCACGUUGGGACUGAGACACGGCCCAAACUCCUACGGGAGGCAGCAGUGGGGAAUCUUCCGCAAUGGGCGAAAGCCUGACGGAGCAAGUCGCCCGUGAGUGAAGAAUUA
rnacentral:rRNA from 1 species